rnacentral:rRNA from 1 species
AUUGAACGCUGGCGGCAGGCCUAACACAUGCAAGUAGCGCGGCGCGGCGGACGGGAGCGUAAUGCCUAGGAAUCAGACUGGUAGUGGGGGAUAACGUCCGGAAACGGGCGCUAAUAACGCCUACUAUACAAUGAGCAUAUGUCGGAUUAGCUAGUUGGGGGGGUAAAGGCCUACCAAGGCGACGAUCCGUAACUGGUCUGAGAGGAUGAUCAGUCAACAUGGAACUGAGACACGGUCCAUACUCCUACGGGAGGCAGCAGUGGGGAAUAUUGGACAAUGGGCGAAAGCCUGAUCCAGCCAUGCCGCGUGGGUGAAGAAGGUCUUCGGAUUGUAAAGCACUUUAAGUUGGGAGGCGUUACCAACAGAAUAAGCACCGGCUAACUUCGUGCCAGCAGCCGCGGUAAUAC